rnacentral:Y_RNA from 1 species
GGCUUGUCCAAGUGCAGUGGUGUUUACAACUAAUUGAUCACAACCAGUUAUAGAUGUAGUUGUUUUCUCCACUCCCGCUGCUUCGCUUGACUACCCUUAA